rnacentral:rRNA from 1 species
CCCUUAGAUGUUCUGGGCUGCACGCGCGCUACACUGACGUACGCAACGAGUGUCCUUUACCGAGAGGUAUGGGUAAUCAUUUGAGUGUACGUCGUGAUGGGGAUAGAAUAUUGUAAUUAUUACUCUUCAACGAGGAAUUCCUAGUAAGCGCCAGUCAGCAGCUUGCGCUGAUUACGUCCCUGCCCUUUGUACACACCGCCCGUCGCUCCUACCGAUGGGUGAUCCGGUGAAUGAUUCGGACUUCAGCGGCUCCCCUGGGGUGCGCCGGAGAAAGUUUUGUGAACCUUAUCACUUGGAGGAAGGAGAAGUCGUAACA